rnacentral:rRNA from 1 species
CGUACAACUUAGAACGUUGUC